rnacentral:rRNA from 1 species
UUGACCUCGGAUCAGGUAGGGAUACCCGCUGAACUUAAGCAUAUCAAUAAGCGGAGAA